rnacentral:rRNA from 1 species
UACGGGGGGAGCAAGCGUUGUUCGGAUUUACUGGGCGUAAAGGGCGCGUAGGCGGCCACCGCAAGUCGACUGUGAAAUCUCCGGGCUUAACCCGGAAAGGUCAGCCGAUACUGCGGGGCUAGAGUGCAGAAGGGGCAACUGGAAUUCUCGGUGUAGCGGUGAAAUGCGUAGAGAUCGGGAGGAACAUCAGUGGCGAAGGCGGCCAUCUGGGACAACACUGACGCUGAAGCACGAAAGCGUGGGGAGCAAACAGG